rnacentral:rRNA from 1 species
GACGAACGCUGGUGGCGUGCUUAACACAUGCAAGUCGAACGGGAUUUAGUAAACAGAAGCCUCGGUGGAAGAUUACUAAUGAGAGUGGCGAACGGGUGAGUAACGCGUGAGCAACCUGCCUAUGACAGUGGGAUAGCCUCGUGAAACCGGGAUUAAUACCGCAUAAAAUCGUAGAAACACAUGUUUUAACGGUCAAAGAUUUAUCGGUCAUAGAUGGGCUCGCGUCUGAUUAGCUAGUUGGUGAGAUAACAGCCCACCAAGGCGACGAUCAGUAGCCGGUCUGAGAGGAUGAACGGCCACAUUGGAACUGAGACACGGUCCAAACUCCUACGGGAGGCAGCAGUGGGGAAUAUUGCACAAUGGGGGAAACCCUGAUGCAGCGACGCCGCGUGAACGAAGAAGGUAUUCGUAUCGUAAAGUUCUGUCCUAUGGGAAGAUAAUGACAGUACCAUAGAAGAAAGCUCCGGCUAAAUACGUG